AAAUUGAAGAGUUUGAUCAUGGCUCAGAUUGAACGCUGGCGGCAGGCCUAACACAUGCAAGUCGAACGGUAACAGGAAACAGCUUGCUGUUUCGCUGACGAGUGGCGGACGGGUGAGUAAUGUCUGGGAAACUGCCUGAUGGAGGGGGAUAACUACUGGAAACGGUAGCUAAUACCGCAUAACGUCGCAAGACCAAAGAGGGGGACCUUCGGGCCUCUUGCCAUCGGAUGUGCCCAGAUGGGAUUAGCUUGUUGGUGGGGUAACGGCUCACCAAGGCGACGAUCCCUAGCUGGUCUGAGAGGAUGACCAGCCACACUGGAACUGAGACACGGUCCAGACUCCUACGGGAGGCAGCAGUGGGGAAUAUUGCACAAUGGGCGCAAGCCUGAUGCAGCCAUGCCGCGUGUAUGAAGAAGGCCUUCGGGUUGUAAAGUACUUUCAGCGGGGAGGAAGGGAGUAAAGUUAAUACCUUUGCUCAUUGACGUUACCCGCAGAAGAAGCACCGGCUAACUCCGUGCCAGCAGCCGCGGUAAUACGGAGGGUGCAAGCGUUAAUCGGAAUUACUGGGCGUAAAGCGCACGCAGGCGGUUUGUUAAGUCAGAUGUGAAAUCCCCGGGCUCAACCUGGGAACUGCAUCUGAUACUGGCAAGCUUGAGUCUCGUAGAGGGGGGUAGAAUUCCAGGUGUAGCGGUGAAAUGCGUAGAGAUCUGGAGGAAUACCGGUGGCGAAGGCGGUCCCCUGGACGAAGACUGACGCUCAGGUGCGAAAGCGUGGGGAGCAAACAGGAUUAGAUACCCUGGUAGUCCACGCCGUAAACGAUGUCGACUUGGAGGUUGUGCCCUUGAGGCGUGGCUUCCGGAGCUAACGCGUUAAGUCGACCGCCUGGGGAGUACGGCCGCAAGGUUAAAACUCAAAUGAAUUGACGGGGGCCCGCACAAGCGGUGGAGCAUGUGGUUUAAUUCGAUGCAACGCGAAGAACCUUACCUGGUCUUGACAUCCACAGAACUUUCCAGAGAUGGAUUGGUGCCUUCGGGAACUGUGAGACAGGUGCUGCAUGGCUGUCGUCAGCUCGUGUUGUGAAAUGUUGGGUUAAGUCCCGCAACGAGCGCAACCCUUAUCCUUUGUUGCCAGCGGUCCGGCCGGGAACUCAAAGGAGACUGCCAGUGAUAAACUGGAGGAAGGUGGGGAUGACGUCAAGUCAUCAUGGCCCUUACGACCAGGGCUACACACGUGCUACAAUGGCGCAUACAAAGAGAAGCGACCUCGCGAGAGCAAGCGGACCUCAUAAAGUGCGUCGUAGUCCGGAUUGGAGUCUGCAACUCGACUCCAUGAAGUCGGAAUCGCUAGUAAUCGUGGAUCAGAAUGCCACGGUGAAUACGUUCCCGGGCCUUGUACACACCGCCCGUCACACCAUGGGAGUGGGUUGCAAAAGAAGUAGGUAGCUUAACCUUCGGGAGGGCGCUUACCACUUUGUGAUUCAUGACUGGGGUGAAGUCGUAACAAGGUAACCGUAGGGGAACCUGCGGUUGGAUCACCUCCUUA
rnacentral:rRNA from 1 species